AGACUACUGACUUGGACCAGCAGGGGAAUGGCUGUGACAAUAAAUAAGAUUGGGAAAACAAGAAGACGCCCUUGCAUACAUUAAGAUAUGUAUAUAUGGAAAUGUUACCGGGAGUCCCGGUUAUCCCAAAAAGGGUUGUUUCCUGUUGCGUGGUGAGGCCAAUGCACGAAACCGAAAGGGAGUGUGUCAAGCAGUGCAGGCUGUAUUCAAUGGCUAUGGAAUUGGAAGAUCUGAAAUCAACUUAGCUUGUGAGAGCUGGGAAGUUUCAGAGGUAGGGUGUCUUUAAUGAAGGGGCUGGGCAUUAAGAGCACGGGGGGGAAUAUUCGUGCUUUCCUUGGGAAAGAACGGAGAUUUUUCCCGGAAUCAAGAAACCCCUUUUUUUCUGUCCCUUCUUGGUCUCUUCCAGUCGUUGUCAUGGCGACAUGUUGUUUAGCAUGAGAACAGGAUGAUGAUAAAGCCAGAGGCUCUUCAGAGGCGCCAUCUUGGAUUUCGCCAGCUUCAGCUGGUUUCGUCCUAAGAAGGAACUUCGAAACACAGGCAUUCUUUUUCCUGAAAAUAAGCAGAGUUACAGCUGAGUAGGAAUUUAGCUCUGUCCCAUAUGCUAUCGCAUUGGGCAGCAAAAGCAGGGUGGGGUCCAGCGAAAUCAGCAGGCACUGCAAUGAGUAACAUACCCAGCCACGUUUAUGCAGCAUUUUUACGAAAAUGAAACCAUACUACCUGUAAAGGAAGAUAUGCUAACAAACAACAAAACUGGCAGGAACCAAGAUUCCUACUGACACUACCCUUAGUUUUAAUUUUCCCUGACAACAAAUGAGGUUAACAGAGCAUAAUUAUCUACCGUGACCCCUUCAAAAAGACAGGCUGUAUACAUUUGCACUAAGAGAAG
rnacentral:lncRNA from 10 species